CACAGAUCAUUUAGCAAAGUAUGUGCUGUGUACUCAUUCGGCUGAUAGGGGAUCUGUCAUUUCUGUCCAGGCAUUUUGGACAUAGUCCUAACCAAACAAAAAUCCCUGCCUUCAUGAAGUUUACUUUCCCAUUAGCUAUUUUCUUUUUAUAAUUGUUUUUUAUUUAUAACAAGAAU